ACUGUAAAUAGCUUUUUUGGCUGAAAAUCUGAAGUUGAUCGCCCCUUUCAAUGAAUGGGUUUUUGUCGUCCAAAAUGUUGAACCCCUUCGAUUGAAUUUUGGAAUAGUCCAUUACAAAAGAAGCGCAACAUGCACUCCGAAGUUUGAUGUUACGCAAGCUGAAUCAAUGUCAACAAUGGCGGCUCGUUUUAAAACAGGUCGAGGAUCGAAGCGCAAGGCAAACAACAAGGCAGAGACUGAGGAGGAGACUUUAGUCAUCGAGCGAAAGCGGGGUAAAAGAGAGGAGGGGGAAACGGAGACUGCUACAGAGGGCCAGAGGGUGGUCAUUGAACACUGUAAGAGCUGAUACGUGUACAGACGGUGUGCUGAGGGGGUGCGAGAUGCCCUCCUGGCUGCCCGCCCAGACCUCCUCGUGGUUCUGAACCCCCAGAAACCCCGCAAGAAAAGCCUGGAGGUCACACUUGUGGAGGGAGAGAAAGAGGUGUGCCUCUGGACAGGCAUAAAGCUAGGCCCACCUGCCAGGCUGAAGUUCCCUGAGCCUGCCAUUGUGGUUGCAGCCCUGGAGGAGGCACUGAAAAAUGAAUAGAGACCCAGUGAAGCUGUUCCUCUUGGUUUUGGAAACUGGACGCAGAAUGAUGGGGACUGACCAACGGGGUUGCUCCCAGUCUGUCCUCUGAUGACCCAAGCGUCAAGCUCCUCUGGCCUGGAUACAUGGUGACAUCUAGUGGUAUCUCUCUGAAGUGCAACACAUUCCCUCUAUUCGGUUACUGUACAGUGGUGGUUCACAAAAUAUUUUCAGUAUACUGUCAGUGUAUUCCCUGAGUAUCACCUUAAAAAAUAAUAUCUGUCCAUAAUAAUGACCACACUGUGACAAAGUGGCUUGAUACACACGCAUUGAGUUGGCUUGUUUACACUGGGGGUUUACUCUUUAACCGUUUGGGAAACACUGGAUAACAAUAUAUUUGUUGCUGAGUAUUCUCUGGUUAAUUUCCUAUGUUAUGUCUCAUGUGUUUUAAUAUUUUUUCUAUGGAGAAUAACACUCAUGUUUCUAUACUCUUCUUCUGUCUCAUUCUUUUUUUAGAAAAGUAAUGGAAUAUGUGCAUAAACUUUUGUGCCUGUCAAAAAUAAAUGUUCUACAUUUUAAAUCAA